CCCUCUGCAUGCAGACACUGAACUUUCCUCAUUGAUUCAAUUUAUCUUUAUGAGAUGCUGAUUGGCCAGGGCUAUGUUGGACUUGUGCUGGUUCUGCCCCUGAUCUGCCUAGUUUACAGUCUCAGCCAAUCCUAUGGGGAAGUAUUGUAAUUUGCUCAGACAACCACUUCUGAUGAUGUCACCAGACAGUCAGUUCAGAGGCAGAGCCAGCAGCUGCAGACUUGAAUACAAG